AUUGAACGCUGGCGGCAUGCCUUACACAUGCAAGUCGAACGGUAACAGGUUAAGCUGACGAGUGGCGAACGGGUGAGUAAUACAUCGGAACGUGCCCAGACGCGGGGGAUAGCUCGGCGAAAGCCGGAUUAAUACCGCAUAAGCUCUGAGGAGGAAAGCGGGGGACCGUAAGGCCUCGCGCGUUUGGAGCGGCCGGUGGCAGAUCAGGUAGUUGGUGGGGUAAAGGCUUACCAAGCCUACGAUCUGUAGCUGGUCUGAGAGGAAGACCAGCCCCACGGGGACUGAGACACGGCCCGGACUCCUACGGGAGGCAGCAGUGGGGAAUUUUGGACAAUGGGCGCAAGCCUGAUUCAGCAAUGCCGCGUGCAGGAUGAAGGCCUUCGGGUUGUAAACUGCUUUUGUACGGAACGAAAAGGCGCCUACUAAUACUGGGUGUUGAUGACGGUACCGUAAGAAUAAGCACCGGCUAACUACGUGCCAGCCGCCGCGGUAAUAC
rnacentral:rRNA from 1 species